GUGUUGUAUGAAAGGAGAGAAGGUUAGCACUCCCCUUGACAAGGAUGGAAGAGGCCUUUGGGCCUAACAACACGCAUACGGUUAAGGCAUUGCCACUUACUUCGUGGCAUCUAACCACUGUUUUUC
rnacentral:ncRNA from 1 species